rnacentral:rRNA from 1 species
AUACGGAGGGUGCAAGCGUUGUUCGGAUUUACUGGGCGUAAAGAGAGUGUAGGUGGUUUAUUAAGUCGGAUGUGAAAUCCCGGGGCUCAACCUCGGAACUGCAUUCGAUACUGAUAGGCUAGAGUUUGGGAGGGGUAAGCGGAAUUCCGUGUGUAGCAGUGAAAUGCGUAGAUAUACGGAGGAACACCUGAGGCGAAGGCGGCUUACUGGACCAAUACUGACACUGAGACUCGAAAGCGUGGGUAGCAAACAGGAUUAGAUACCCUAGUAGUCC